rnacentral:lncRNA from 1 species
CGGCGUGGGUGAAGCCGCAGCUGUUGGAGCGUCUCCUGCAUCUGUCCCUGGCCUAAACCCGACGCUAGGCUGGAGGGAGCGACUGCGGGCCGGGCUGGCGGGGACUGGGGCCUCGUUGUGGUUCGUGGCGGGGCUGGGGCUGCUUUACGCCCUGAGGAUCCCUUUGAGGCUGUGUGAGAAUUUGGCAGCGGAUAUUUGAAUGGUGGUACUUCCAUAAGCAUGGCACAUCUUUUAUUGAGCAAGUAUCUGUAAGCCAUUUGCAACCACUGAUGGGAGGAACAGAGAGCAGCAUUUCAGAACCAGGUUCUCCUUCGAGGAACAGAGAAAAUGAAACCAGCAGACAGAAUUUGUCAGAUGGAAUUUCACUCUUGUUGCCCAGGCUGGAGUGCAAUGUCGCGAUCUUGGCUCACUGCAACCUCCACCUCCCGGGUUCAAGCGAUUCUCCUGCCCCAGCCUCCCGAGUAGCUGGGAUUACAAGCACCUGCCACCAUGCCAGAGUAAUUUUUGUAUUUUUAGUAGAGAUGGGUUUUCGCCAUGUUGGCCAGACUGGUCUCAAACCCCUGACCUCAGAUGAUUCAUCCACCUCGGCCUCCCAAAGUGCUGGGAUUACAGGCAUGAGCCACCAGGCCUGGCCCAUUCUGUCUUCUUUUCUUUCAACAUUCAUAGCCCCAUAUCUAGGCCCUUAAACAUCUCUUCCCUUGGCUAUUGCUAUAGUAUCCUAAGUGGUUUCCCUUCCUCUUACACUUCCCCUUCUAGUACAUACUCUCUCCUUACUAGGUAAAAAAAAAAGUGGUUCUCAAACUUUUUAGACUAAGAAAUCCUUUACAUUCUUAAAAAAUUAUCCAGGA